rnacentral:rRNA from 1 species
AUGGGAGGCUGCUACUGCUUGUUCCCCUGCUUGCUCAUCUGCUUUCUGCUCCACACACAUGGCAGCCACUCCCUGAACCAGACAUGCAACUCCACUGACCUGGAGGCGCUUCUCGCCUUUUCCAGUGGCUUGGAUAGGAAAGGCAGCAGGCUUGUUGGAUGGGCUCCCAACGAUGCAGCGUGCUGUUCCUGGACCGGCGUCUCUUGUGAUCUUGGGAGGGUUGUUGGGCUGGAUCUCUCCAACAAGAACCUUCAUGGCGGCAUCUCCUCCGCGAUCUCCUUGCUUGAUGGCCUUGUUACUCUAAACCUCUCCCACAACUCUCUCGGUGGCCAGCCACCGGAGGAUCUUGGCCAGUUAGCAAGGAUGUGGAUUCUCGACCUCAGCAUGAACGUGCUCUCCGGCGCGUUCCCGACGAGUGAACAUGGCUUCCCGGCGAUUGAGGUGGUGAAUGUAUCCUUCAACCAAUUCAAGGGACCGCACCCUGUGUUCCCCGUCGCGAUGAAUCUGAUGGUUCUUGAUAUCUCGAGCAAUGCGUUCUCUGGUAGCAUCAACACCACGGCACUCUGUGUUGCGCCGGUCAAGGCCCUGCGAUUUUCCAGGAAUGGGUUCAACAGUGAGAUCCUUGCAGGCUUUGGCCGGUGCAGGAUGCUCACUGAGCUCUCUAUUGAUGGCAGUGGCCUCACUGGGAAUCUCCUCAGUGACCUGUACACUUUAUCAGAGUUGAGGAGGCUGAGCUUACGGGAAAAUCAGCUCUCUGGUGGUCUUAGCGAGUACCUGGGUAACUUCUCUCAGCUUAUGCAUAUUGACCUGUCAUAUAACUUGUUCACUGGAGUCAUUCCUGAUGUGUUUGGGGGUUUGAGGAGGCUGGAGUUCUUAAACUUGGCCUCAAAUUCGUUCAGUGGCACAUUGCCUGCUUCCCUGUCGAGCUGCCCAACGCUGAGGGUUAUCAACCUAAGGAACAACUCGCUGUCGGGGGAGAUUGCCAUUGACUUUAACUUACUGUCAAGGCUGAACAUUCUGGAUGUAGCGAUUAACAUGCUGAGUGGUGUUGUACCUCCCAGUCUCAUGUGGUGCACUGAGUUGAAGACGCUGAACCUUGGAUCGAACAAGCUUGAGGGGAAGAUACCAGAGAGUUAUAAGAAUUUGCGGUGCCUGUCACACCUCUCGCUUGUUGACAAUGGCUUCACCAACUUGUCAUCGGCAUUACAAGUCUUGCAAUACCUGCCCAAACUUACGAGCUUGGUGCUCACCAAGAAUUUACGUGGUGGUGAGACCUUGCCAAUGGAUGGCAUCAGUGGGUUCAAGAGCAUCCAGGUGCUUGUCUUGGCAAACUGUGCGCUCUCCGGAAUGAUUCCGCCUGGGCUGGAAAGCUUGGAGAGUCUCAGAGUUCUAGAUCUUUCAUGGAACAAGUUGAAUGGAAAGAUCCCGCUAUGGUUGGGCAAUCUGAAUAAUCUCUUCUUUGUCGAUCUGUCAAACAACUCAUUUAGUGGGGAGCUUCCUGAGAGCUUUACACAGAUAAAGAGUUUAAUUUCAAGUAAUAGUUCGAGUGAGCAUGCAUCAAUAGAGGACUUCCCGUUAUUAUUCAAGAAGAAUUCAGCUGACAAAGGUUUGCAGUACAAACAUGUCAGCAGCUUCCCGCCAUCGCUGAUCCUCUCCAGUAACUUGCUUGUUGGGCCUGUGUUGCGUGGGCUUGGCCAUCUUGUGAAUCUUCAUGUACUGGACUUGAGCUGGAACAACUUCUCAGGGGGCAUUCCUGAUGAGUUGUCAAACAUGUCGAGCUUGGAAGCGCUAAAUUUGUCCCAUAAUGAUCUCAGUGGGAGCAUACCAGCAUCUCUAACGAUGUUGACAUUUCUGUCCAAGUUUGAUGUCUCUUACAACAACUUGGCUGGAGAUAUACCAACAGGAGGGCAAUUUUCCACAUUCGCGAAUGCGGAUUUUGUGGGCAAUUCUGCACUCUGCAUUCUUCGGAAUGCCUCCUGCACUGAAGAGGCUCCAUUUGUGGAAACAGGAAAUGAACAGCAUCGUGGUAUGGAUACUACAAUGACUGUGAUGACAUACAUCCCCGGGGAAGUGGGGUUCGCUUUUGGGCUUUUGAUUGUCUGGAACGUACUGUUCUUCAUAAGGGCUUGGAGGGUUGCAUAUUUUCUGACGAUUGAUAGGUUCUUUGAUAUGAUUUAUGUCAUGACAGUGGUGAAGGUGAACAAGCUCAGAAGAGAAGGGGAGUAUAAAGUUCAUCCUUAA